ACAAUAUUGUUGUUCAGUGUAAAGAAUGUCAGCCAAGGUCGGCCCCCCGACAUUUUACCACAUAAAAUAUGGCCCCCUUGGCAAAAAGUUUGGACACCCCUGCUUUAGCAUCACCAAGUGAUUUGAGGACUUGAGUCUUUGCCAAAGAAACAAGCUUGUGUGCCAACAUCUUUGCAACUACGGAGAACAACCCGAGAGUAUUUUGAAAGUGACACUCUUUCGCAAGCAUUUAGUCCCCAUUUCAACAUGAGCUCUCAAUUGUGCUCUUACUCAUCUUUGUUUGAUAUUAACACUGAAGUAUUUGUCACUGCUGCCUGACUUGUUUUUUUUUGUUUGUUUGUUUUGGGGUGCUUUGUCGACAGCAGUGACGCAAUUUAAGUGAUUGUAAUGUGGAAUCUGAAUCUUGUGUUUGUAGAUGUGGUUUGUAUUGUGACUUUUACAGUAGCUGAUGUGAUAUUGUAUAUAGUGAGUGUGUGUGUGUGUGUUAAUUUGACUAACUGUGAAUGUGAAAUAUUAGAUUUUUUUUUGCAGAUAUGAACAGCACACAAGACAGUUUUCAUUUUUUUGUGUUUUGUGCUGCUCAUGAUUGCCAAAUGAACGCACUUUAAGUUUUUAUCCAGCUCUUGUGUUGUUGUUGUUGUCGUUUGGAAUUUAAAAGGAAUAAAUAAUAAUAAUAAUAAAAACAGCCGGGAAAUGCCCAAAUAGAUCAAACUGUAUGUAUAAAAAAAAGUGGUGCCACACACACACCAUCUGUUUAUGUCAAUUAUUUAUUGAAUAAAAGAAAAAUGUGUUGUUCGUGA